GGGGAUUUAGCUCAGUGACAUAAGCGCCUGCCUUGCAAGCAGGCAGUUGUGAGUUCGAUUCCCGGAAAGUUCA
rnacentral:tRNA from 1 species